rnacentral:lncRNA from 1 species
CGGACCGCAAGCACCGGUUCGUGGUGUACAAGAUGGACGACGACGCGCAGCAGGUGGUGGUGGACAAGGUGGGCGCGCUCGACGCCACCUUCGACGACCUGGCGGCGGCCAUGCCCGCCGACGACUGCCGCUACGCCGUCUACGACCUGGACUUCGUGUCCGAGGACUCGGCCGGCGAGACCCCCCGCAGCAAGAUCUUCUUCAUCCACUGGUCGCCGGAGUCGGCGGACGCGAGGAACAAGAU